GUCACGUGAGCGGCCCGGCGGCAGCGGCGGCGGCGGCGGCCGUGGUGGCGGCGGCCGCGGCGUCUUCGGCGGCGUCCAGUGCAGGAUGGUGCUGGAGGUGGCGGUGGCGGCCGUGGUGGCGGCGGCGUCGUUGGCGGUAGCGGGAGGAGGUGCGGCGGCGGCGGCAGUAGCGGCGGAGCCCGCGGGUGAUAUAAAAUGGCGGAUUUCGAGGAGUUGAGGAACAUGGUUUCUAGUUUUAGGGUUUCUGAACUACAAGUGUUACUGGGCUUUGCUGGAAGGAAUAAAAGUGGACGCAAGCAUGACCUCCUGAUGAGGGCACUGCAUUUGUUGAAGAGUGGCUGCAGCCCUGCUGUUCAGAUUAAAAUCCGAGAAUUGUAUCGACGCCGAUAUCCACGGACUUUAGAAGGACUUGCUGACUUAUCCACCAUCAAAUCCUCAGUUUUCAGUUUGGAUGGUAGCUCCUCACCUGUGGAACCCGACUUGGCUGUGGCCGGAAUCCACACUUUGCCUUCUACUUCAGUUGCUUCUCACGCACCGUCCUCUCCGGUUGGUUCUGUGUUGAUGCCAGAUACGAAGCCUGCAUUUGAGAUGCAGCAGCCAUCUCCCCCAAUUCCUCCUGUCCAUCCUGAUGUGCAGUUAAAAAACCUGCCCUUUUAUGAUGUCCUUGAUGUUCUCAUCAAGCCCACAAGUUUAGUUCAAAGCAGUAUUCAACGAUUUCAAGAGAAGUUUUUUAUUUUUGCGUUGACACCUCAACAAGUUAGAGAGAUAUGCAUAUCCAGAGAUUUUUUGCCAGGUGGCAGGAGAGAUUAUACAGUCCAAGUUCAGUUGCGGCUUUGCCUUGCAGAAACAAGUUGUCCUCAAGAAGAUAACUAUCCUAAUAGUCUGUGUAUAAAAGUUAAUGGAAAGCUGUUUCCUUUGCCUGGUUAUGCACCACCACCUAAAAAUGGAAUUGAACAGAAGCGCCCUGGGCGUCCCUUGAAUAUCACAUCUUUAGUUAGGUUAUCCUCAGCCGUGCCAAACCAGAUUUCCAUCUCUUGGGCAUCUGAGAUUGGAAAGAAUUACUCCAUGUCUGUAUAUCUUGUACGACAGCUCACUUCAGCUAUGUUAUUACAGAGAUUAAAAAUGAAAGGUAUUAGAAACCCUGAUCAUUCCAGAGCACUAAUUAAAGAAAAACUUACGGCAGAUCCUGAUAGUGAAAUUGCUACAACUAGCCUUCGGGUAUCCUUGAUGUGCCCUUUAGGGAAAAUGAGGCUGACCAUCCCAUGCCGUGCAGUGACCUGUACCCAUCUGCAGUGUUUUGAUGCUGCCCUUUAUCUACAAAUGAAUGAGAAGAAGCCCACUUGGAUUUGUCCUGUGUGUGACAAGAAAGCUGCCUAUGAAAGUCUGAUAUUAGAUGGGCUGUUUAUGGAAAUUCUCAAUGAUUGUUCUGAUGUGGAUGAAAUUAAAUUCCAAGAAGAUGGUUCCUGGUGUCCAAUGAGACCGAAGAAGGAAGCUAUGAAAGUAUCCAGCCAACCAUGUACAAAGAUAGAAAGUUCAAGUGUCCUCAGUAAGCCUUGUUCAGUAACUGUAGCCAGUGAGGCAAGCAAGAAGAAAGUGGAUGUUAUUGACCUAACAAUAGAAAGUUCUUCUGAUGAAGAUGAAGACCCUCCUGCCAAAAGGAAAUGCAUUUUUAUGUCAGAAACACAAAGCAGCCCAACCAAAGGGGUUCUCAUGUAUCAGCCACCUGUAAGGGUGCCCAGUGUGACUUCGGUUGAUCCUGCUGCUGUUCCGCCUUCAUUAACAGACUACUCAGUACCAUUCCACCACACGCCAAUGUCAAGCAUGUCAUCAGAUUUGCCAGGUUUGGAUUUUCUUUCCCUUAUUCCAGUUGAUCCCCAGGCUCCAUUUUGACCUUUCUGAGGUCCCUAAAGACAGUAGAUCCACUGAGCCAAAGGCAAUCCAACCCAAACUGGAAGAGUGGUAAUAGUAACAAAACCAUGAGAGGGAAUGAACACAUCCAGAGGCAAUGGCUAGUGGAAAAAAGAUUCCAAGAGGGACACAGGGAAAAUGAGAGGAAACAGCUGGAAUGGAAGAGAAAAGGAUGUGGAAUAUUUCAAGAAGUGAUCAUGAGAGUUGAAAGCUGAUACAGCACAAAAAUUAAGCAUUCAUUUUUAAACAUUGAAUUUCAGAAGCACCAUAUUUGAAACUAUGUUACAUUUAUGUAAACAGAGUCAAACUUAAUUCAACUAUAGUUCAUUGCUUUCAAUCAUUGAUUGUAAGGUAUGUCCAAUUAAGGUGCAGGGGAGGGGUGAAUAUACAUUUUAGGAUGGACGAAUUAUGGAUAAUUUGCCUUUUGCUUUCUCAAGCAAUGCCAAGUCUAGUCAUUUCAAUCAAGAACAAUUUCAGUGGAGUGAUGAAGGUAAGUCUAGAUUGAAAUAGGGUGAGGAUUUUUAAAUAAAGACAGUUCUGAAAAUGGGCUAUGAUGUAAAGCUGUUGCAUUAGAACUAUGGCAUUGAGGGGGCUGUUAAGGUGGAAGAAGUACAAGUCUUGUGGAGAAGGUAGAAGGAUUGAUUGGAUUUAUCUUAGGAAUUCAAUCAUGGUUUCACAUUAGCAAAACGGUGGCCGUUAUGGGUUCCAUUAACAUUAUAGAACCAA